UUCUCUUAAUUCAAAGUGAGUAAUGGCGCAGAUAUUGUUGCACGGGACUUUAUAUGCAACGAUCUAUGAGGUGGAUAAACUUCAGUGUGGAGGUGGAUUAAACUUCUUUCACAAGCUUAUGGAAAACGUUGAGGCGACGCUUGGUUUUGGCAAAGGAAGCAGUAAACUCUAUGCAACUGUUGACCUGGAAAAGGCUAGAGUUGGGAGGACCAGAGUUCUUGAAAAAGAAGAUACCAAUCCUAGGUGGUAUGAAUCUUUUAUCAUUUACUGUGCACAUCUGGCUUCAAAUGUCAUAUUCACAAUCAAGGAUGAUAAUCCCAUUGGGGCAACCUUAAUUGGAAGGGCAUAUGUACCAGUUGAAGAGCUCAUAGAUGGGGAAGAGAUAGAUAGAUUGGUUGAGAUAUUGGAUGAAGACAAAAAUCCUGUACGUGGUGGUUCUAAGAUCCAUGUGAAGCUGCAGUACUUUGAUGUUAGCAAGGACCCUAACUGGGGCCGGGGUAUUAAGAGUCAAAAAUAUCCUGGAGUGCCAUAUACAUUCUACUCACAGAGAAACGGAUGUAAGGUUUCUCUCUACCAAGACGCUCACGUCCCAGACAAAUUUGUUCCUAAAAUCCCUCUUGCUGGAGGCAAGUACUAUGAGCCCCACAGAUGUUGGGAAGAUAUUUUUGAUGCAAUUACAAAUGCAAAACACUUGAUCUACAUCACUGGCUGGUCUGUUUAUACUGAAAUAAGCUUGGUAAGGGAUUCAAGGAGGCCGAAGCCAGGAGGAGACAUAACUCUUGGUGAGCUGCUAAAGAAGAAGGCCAGUGAAGGUGUUAGGGUUCUUAUGCUUGUUUGGGAUGACAGAACCUCAGUUGGUUUGUUGAAAAAGGAUGGACUGAUGGCCACUCAUGAUGAAGAAACUGAACAUUUCUUCCAGAAUACUGAUGUACAUUGUGUGUUAUGUCCCCGAAAUCCUGAUGAUGGUGGAAGCUUCGUUCAGGAUCUACAAAUCUCUACCAUGUUCACUCAUCACCAGAAAAUUGUGGUGGUGGACAGUGCAAUGCCAAGUGGAGAUUCCCAGAGGAGGAGAAUUGUUAGUUUUGUGGGGGGUCUUGACCUGUGUGAUGGGAGAUAUGAUUCCCCAUUUCAUUCUCUCUUCAGGACAUUGGACACAGCGCACCAUGAUGAUUUCCAUCAGCCCAACUUUGCGGGUGCUUCAAUUGAAAAAGGUGGUCCAAGAGAACCUUGGCAUGACAUCCACUCCAGACUUGAAGGACCUAUUGCUUGGGAUGUCUUGUUUAAUUUUGAGCAGAGAUGGAGAAAGCAAGGAGGUAAAGAUCUGCUUGUUCAGCUGAGAGAACUGGAAGAUAUCAUCAUUCCCCCAUCUCCAGUUAUGUACCCUGAGGACUAUGAAACAUGGAAUGUCCAGUUGUUUAGAUCCAUUGAUGGUGGGGCUGCAUUUGGUUUCCCUGAGACUCCUGAAGAUGCUGCCAGAUCUGGGCUUGUCAGUGGGAAGGAUAAUAUCAUUGACCGGAGCAUUCAAGAUGCUUAUAUCCAUGCCAUUCGAAGGGCAAAGAAUUUCAUUUAUAUUGAAAAUCAAUAUUUCCUUGGAAGUUCAUUUGGUUGGGCUCCUGAUGGAAUUAAGCCUGAAGACAUUAAUGCAUUGCAUGUAAUCCCAAAGGAACUAUCACUUAAGAUAGUUAGCAAGAUUGAGGCUGGGGAGAGGUUCACUGUGUAUGUUGUUGUCCCAAUGUGGCCAGAGGGUAUACCAGAGAGUGGAUCAGUUCAGGCAAUAUUAGAUUGGCAGAGGAGGACAAUGGAAAUGAUGUAUAAAGAUGUUGUGCAGGCUCUUCGAGCCCAGGGUAUUGAGGAUGAUCCUCGAAACUACUUGACAUUUUUUUGUCUUGGGAACCGCGAAGUGAAGAAGAGUGGUGAAUAUGAACCUUCGGAAAGACCAGAGUCUGAUUCAGAUUAUAUGAGAGCUCAGGAGGCACGGCGCUUCAUGAUUUAUGUUCAUGCAAAGAUGAUGAUUGUUGACGAUGAAUACAUAAUAAUUGGGUCUGCCAACAUCAACCAAAGAUCAAUGGAUGGUGCCAGGGACUCAGAAAUAGCCAUGGGAGCUUAUCAACCAUAUCACUUGUCGACCAGGCAGCCAGCACGAGGUCAAGUUCAUGGCUUCCGAAUGGCACUAUGGUAUGAACACCUUGGCAUGCUUGAUGAUACCUUCCUUAUUCCAGAAAGUGAGGAGUGUGUCAGGAAGGUGAACCAGAUAGCAGAUAAAUACUGGGAUCUAUAUUCAAGCGAGACACUUGAACAUGACUUACCUGGUCAUUUGCUCCGCUAUCCUGUUGAAAUUGCUAGUGAAGGAGAUGUGACACAGCUCCCUGGAACUGAAUUCUUCCCUGACACCAAGGCUCGAGUUCUAGGUGCCAAAUCUGAUUACCUCCCUCCUAUCCUUACAACAUAAUGGAACUCUAUGCAGUUCUCAAAUAAUAGCCUGCUUUAUCAUCUGGUAUGUGCUACUAGUUUUAGGAAAUAAUAAAUCAUGUUACGCAAUGCUGCCUGUUUUAUUUUCUUGCUGUGAUGUUUAUGUCAGGAUUUACAGAGAUAUGUUAAUGCUAUGGUGUGAUUUGAUUCCAGACUUUUGAACUUCAAGCCUUUUUUUUUUUUUUUAAAGUGCAGGGUUUAAUUAGAUGUUGACCCCACAAUAACCUGCCAAGGAAACUUCAAUAUUAGGAUAUUAGCCAGUAGGAAAGAAGGAAAAUUUUUGUAUUCUUCGCAUCCUCCAAUAGCUAUAAGACUGACGAUGUUAAUGGCUAUCAUCCAAGCAUACCUUUAGCUCCUCCUUUUCCUGCAUAACACCAUGGCUCUCUCACUAGUACCAUGUCCUCUUUGCUUCUUUCUUUUUGUGCUACUGCCAUUUUUUACUACUGCACAAACUUACAGCAACAUAUCUUUAGGCUUAUCCCUCACUGCACAGAAUGAUAAUUCUCAAUGGGUAUCUCCAUCUGGUGAUUUUGCUUUUGGAUUCCAACAAAUUGACAAUGAUGGCUACUUACUAGCUAUAUGGUUCAACAAGGUACCUGACAGAACCAUAGUCUGGUCAGCUAACAGAAAUAAUCUAGUCCAAAGUGGAUCCAAAGUUCAACUUACCACAGAUGGUCAGUUGCUCCUCAAUGAUCAAUCAGGCACACAAAUAUGGAAUGCCAAUUCAGUUGCUGCUGGGGUUUCCUAUGCAGCCAUGCUUGACACUGGAAACUUCGUACUAGCUAACGAAGAUUCUGAUAUCCUUUGGGAAAGUUUUGAUCAACCAACUGACACGAUAUUACCCACACAAACUAUGGAUCAAGGAGGUGAGCUUGUUGCUCGUUACUCAGAAACAAAUUUUUCCCAUGGAAAAUUCAAGUUUACGCUACAGUCUGAUGGGAAUCUCCUCCUGUACACCAGAAGAUAUCCAUUGGAUACUUCCAAUGUCGCUUAUUGGUCUACAACAACAUCCAUAGGCAGUGGCUAUAGGGUGACCUUCAACCAGUCUGGCUAUGUUUCCCUCAUUGCAAGAAAUGGAAGCUUACUUAAUUAUGUAUUUUCUGUUGCAGUAUCAACGCAGAAUUUCUACCAAAGGGCAACCAUUGACCACGACGGGGUUUUUAGGCUCUAUGUCUACCCGAAGAAUGUCACUUCAAGUGGUGGAAAGUGGCCAAUGGCUUGGACAACUUCGUCCUUUAUACCUUCAAAUAUCUGCAUCACAAUUAUGGGGGAGAAAGGCAGUGGAGCUUGUGGUUUCAAUAGCUACUGUAGAUUGGGAGACGAUCAAAGACCAAAAUGUCAUUGUCCACCCGGUUACACUUUCUCGGAUCCAAAGGAUGUGAGCAAGGGAUGCCGACAGAACUUUGUUGCACAGAAUUGUGAUACAGCAUCGCAGGAAACAGAUCUUUUUGAGUUCAGGGAGAUGUUUAAUGCAGAUUGGCCGAUGAUUGAUUUUGAAUCUUUUAAAUCUGUGAAUGAGGAUUGGUGCAGACAAGCUUGCUUGAGUGAUUGUUACUGCGCUGUUGCCAUCUUUAGAGAUGGAAAUUGUUGGAAGAAGCAAAUCCCUCUCGCAAACGGCAGAUCUGAUUCUAGUACUGGAGGCAAGGCCCUGAUAAAAAUAAGGAAAGAUAAUUCCACUUCAGUGGCAUCUUCAGGGUCAAAGAAGAAAGAUCAAUCAACUUUGAUCAUCACUGGAUCAGUAUUUUUAGGUAUCUCCAUCUUCUUGAAUGGUCUCUUACUGGUAGCAACCUUAAUGUUUUCUCUUCGCUCAAGUCAACAAAAAUCAAAAACUGUUCACCCACACUCACACCAAGGCAAUCUAGCCAUGAAUCCACGAAGUUUCACUUAUAAUGAGCUGGAAGUAGCUACACGAGUGUUUAAGGAAGAACUGGGUAGUGGUGCUUUUGGAACUGUAUACAAAGGGGUUUUGGGAUAUGAAAAUACAGAGUUUGUUGCAGUCAAGAAGCUAGGAAAGGUGGUGACAGUCACAGAAGGUGAGAAGGAAUUUGAAUCAGAAUUGAGUAGUAUCGGCAGAACAAAUCACAAGAAUCUUGUCAAACUUCUAGGAUUCUGUAAUGAGAAGCAAAAUCGCCUACUGGUUUAUGAAUACAUGAGCAAUGGUUGUUUGGCAAAUUUCCUGUUUGGAGAUUCAAGGCUUGACUGGUUCAGAAGAACGCAAAUUGCUUUUGGAGUAGCAAGAGGGCUCUCUUAUCUCCAUGAAGAAUGCAGCACCCAGAUCAUACAUUGUGAUGUCAAGCCACAAAAUAUUCUUUUAGAUGAAACUCUCACAGCAAGAAUUUCCGACUUUGGACUAGCCAAGCUUUUGAAGACAGAUCAGUCCCGCACUUUUACUGCAAUCAGGGGAACGAAAGGAUAUGUGGCCCCUGAAUGGUUCAAGAGCAUGCCUAUUACAGCCAAAGUAGAUGUGUACAGCUUUGGCAUUUUAUUUCUAGAGAUCAUGUGUUGCCGGAGGAAUGUGGCUGCGAAUGUUCCAGAAAAUGAAGCUAUUCUUGUAGACUGGGUGUCCAGCUGUUUUGAGGAAAAUGAAUUGCACAAGCUGGUCAGUGCAGAAGAAGUAGAUGAGCAAACAUUUCAGAGAAUGGUUUGUAUUGGACUUUGGUGCAUCCAAGAGGAUCCAUCGGUUCGUCCAUCAAUGAAGAAGGUGGUUUUAAUGUUGGAAGGUUUUGCAGAAAUACCUAUUCCUCCCAGCCCUGCUUCUGGUAGCAGUACAUUCUAGUUGGUGUGGUUUUUCGAUCGUCUCAUUUCUUCUUUAAUUUAUAUAUUUUAUCGCCCUACAGUGCAUGUGCCUUGAACCUACUUUAUUUGUUGUUGAAUGUUGAACUAAUCUAAUUUAAAUUGUAGAUGAUGAUUAGUUUUUCCAAUGUGUUAUUAUUCCAAAUCAAAAUUGUCAGAAUUUGAACUCUAAAUGUUUUAUAUUAUGAGAUAUGAAUUCGAUAAUUGAAUUAAUU
rnacentral:misc_RNA from 1 species